rnacentral:lncRNA from 1 species
CUCUUCCAUAAAUAAAGACUUGUCCCAAACUCCAGGAAAAAUCUGUGCACUUCACAAAACAUUUAUAACAAUUUAUUGCGUUCGCCUCAGGCUGGGUAACCACAACAGAAAUUGCCAAAAUGUCCUUUCAAGGUAGCUUGCAUGUCAGGGAAGAAAAUGGCUGCCCCCAAGCCAUUUGCAAACAAAUUCAAUAUCUUUUCCAGAGAAAUAUGCCAAAUCCCCCAUGAUGGAAAACGUCAAAAUCCUCACCCCCAGCUAGGCUAAAAAUAUCGGCAAUAGCUCCGCCCCUUGGAUUAGGAAAAGCUGCAAAGGCCCGGGGGUGAGGGGAUGGGAACUGCUGGAAUUAACUGAUACAUUAGAUUAUCAAAGCUAAUUUUAAAAUAUGACAAUAACAGACAACUCUUCCGCCAAUAUCUUAAAAAGAAAUAUUCCAAUAAUUUUUCAUUAAUUAAACAGCCAGGAAUUACAUACCAAAUAAUAACAAUGGUUAAAGACUGUGUUAAUCAACAGCAAGUAUGGAAUAUCACUACGUAAACAACAAUUUGAUAUUACCUUAAAAAGAAAAGCUACUAAUUCUGACCAAUGGGAAUUUUGUGUGUACUACGAAUCAUAUGCAUUUAUUGUCUCCGUAGCAGGCUUUAUUUUACCCUGUGAGCAAAGUCGUCUCAUAUUUCUUCUCGGCAUGGCACGGAGAAGCGAGAGAGAUUCUGCAAAACUUGUGUAUAUUCUUUGUGGAGCCAACAAUCCAAAAACUUGGAUAAUUAUGUAUAAUUUCAGGUUUGAUACUGGUUUAAUAACUGGUUUUGAUGCCGGAAACAACGAAACCAGAAACUACUUAUUAAAUCUUCUUCUGGGAAAUAGGCAGUUGCUUAGCAACCUUCGCACAUGCUCAAAUGAAUUUCUACCCAAGUUCUGCAGAGUCUCUCUCGCUUCUCCGUGCCGAGAAGAAAUAGGAGAGGACUUUGCUCGCAGGGCAGCUUUAUUUCAAGGAUAGAGCCUGACACGCUGGAUACUUUCAAAGUUAACCCCCCCCCUACUUUAUUACUUUACUCUGCGUAACACUAGACAAUUUUACUUGAGGACGCCAUAUUCAAUAUAUUAUUCUCACCAGGAAAUUCCAUUUUGUUUGCACCCCUUGCACUAUUGUGUUUCAUUAUGGCAUCUUCAACUUGAAAGAGUCUAUUACUCUGGCCCCAACAUUUACCCGUUAAAAACACAAUAUAUGAUGAAAUAACUAAAUGUUACAGGUUUACACGCCUGACACCUGGUCCUUGUAUUUCUGUCUUGUUAGGCUACAUCAUGUUCUUUUGACCGCUUAUCCGUAUCAGGAUUGCUUGCAUCAAGGGCCGUAGCGUAGAAAAAAGCAUCCAAAUAAACGGCAGUUUGCGAAUAUUAUAUAAAUAUUGUGAACUUUUGUCGUCUAUUUCAAGCUUGUAGCGAUCCAAGUUACUCACAUAAAAUGACUUUCGCUUUAUAAAGUCUGGUUCAUCGGAAAACUUUAAAGUUUCAUCGGAAAAAUAAAAAAAAUAUGUACAAAAUCGAUGAAAUUGUCGAUACUAAAUAACUAAAUUCGCUCCGAAGAAAGCGGCCAUCUUGAAUCCAGCGACGAAUAGUAAUGACGUAAUUUUUAUUAUUUAUUAAUGACGUAACGUUCAUUUUGUGGCUAACGAUCACUGAGCUAUAAUAUUACUGGAGGAGGUGCUCCUAUCUCUCGUCAGUCAAAAAAGUGUCGCCAAAAACAUGGCGGAUUUUCAUGUUUGCUGACGCCAAUUGGUUCCUCCGGCUCAUGGCAAUUACCACUGACCAACCGCGAUCCUACGCUUGAAAUAAAAUCCUUCACCCCCCUGGUUUUUGCACAAAUUUUGAUCAUAAUUUUCGAGUUUCGACUGAAAAUCUUGAUAUUUUUGCAGUCGAGGAAAAAGUGUGUUAGUUUUAAGUUUAUAGUCUGCUUGUAGAUGAAACAAUUCACUCGAGAGGAUUAUUAUAUUUCUUGUUUUCAGGUAA